rnacentral:rRNA from 1 species
GAUGAACGCUGGCGGCGUGCCUAAUACAUGCAAGUCGAGCGAACAGACGAGGAGCUUGCUCCUCUGACGUUAGCGGCGGACGGGUGAGUAACACGUGGAUAACCUACCUAUAAUUCUGGGAUAACUUCGGGAAACCGGAGCUAAUACCGGAUAAUAUAUUGAACCGCAUGGUUCAAUAGUUAAAGACGGUUUUGCUGUCACUUAUAGAUGGAUCCGCGCCGCAUUAGCUAGUUGGUAAGGUAACGGCUUACCAAGGCAACGAUGCGUAGCCGACCUGAGAGGAUGAUCGGCCACACUGGAACUGAGACACGGUCCAGACUCCUACGGGAGGCAGCAGUAGGGAAUAUUCCGCAAUGGGCGGAAGCUUGACGGAGCAAUACCGCGUGAGUGAUGAAGGUCUUCGGAUCGUAAAACUCUGUUAUUAGGGAAGAACAAAUGUGUAAGUAACUAUGCUCGUCUUGACGGUACCUAAUCAAAAAGCAACGGCUAACUACGUG